rnacentral:rRNA from 1 species
UACGUAGGGGGCAAGCGUUGUCCGGAUUUAUUGGGCGUAAAGAGCGUGUAGGCGGCCAGAUAAGUCCGCUGUGAAAUCUCGAGGCUCAACUUCGAGCUGUCGGUGGAAACCAUCUGGCUAGAGUCCGGAAGAGGAGAGUGGAAUUCCUGGUGUAGCGGUGAAAUGCGCAGAUAUCAGGAAGAACACCCGUGGCGAAAGCGGCUCUCUGGGACGGUACUGACGCUGAGACGCGAAAGCGUGGGGAGCGAACAGG